rnacentral:rRNA from 1 species
GAGCGGUAGAGAGAAGCUUGCUUCUCUUGAGAGCGGCGGACGGGUGAGUAAUGCCUAGGAAUCUGCCUGGUAGUGGGGGAUAACGUUCGGAAACGGACGCUAAUACCGCAUACGUCCUACGGGAGAAAGCAGGGGACCUUCGGGCCUUGCGCUAUCAGAUGAGCCUAGGUCGGAUUAGCUAGUUGGUGAGGUAAUGGCUCACCAAGGCGACGAUCCGUAACUGGUCUGAGAGGAUGAUCAGUCACACUGGAACUGAGACACGGUCCAGACUCCUACGGGAGGCAGCAGUGGGGAAUAUUGGACAAUGGGCGAAAGCCUGAUCCAGCCAUGCCGCGUGUGUGAAGAAGGUCUUCGGAUUGUAAAGCACUUUAAGUUGGGAGGAAGGGCAGUUACCUAAUACGUGAUUGUUUUGACGUUACCGACAGAAUAAGCACCGGCUAACUCUGUGCCAGCAGCCGCGGUAAUACAGAGGGUGCAAGCGUUAAUCGGAAUUACU